AUCGAACGCUGGCGGCAGGCCUAACACAUGCAAGUCGAGCAAGCGGCGGACGGGUGAGUAAUGUAUGGGGACUGCCCGAUAGAGGGGGAUAACUACUGGAACCGGUAGCUAAUACAGCAUACUAUCGGAUAACCCAUAUGGGAGUAGCUCGUAGGUGAGGUAAUGGCUCACUUAGGCGACGAUCCCUAGCUGGUCUGAGAGGAUGAUAAGCCAAACGGGGACUGAGACACGGCCCAGACUCCUAGGGAGGCAGCAGUGGGGAAUAUUGCACAAGGGGCGCAAGCCUGAUGCAGCCAUGCCGCGUGUAUGAAGAAGGCCCUAGGGUUGUAAAGUACUUUCAGUCGGGAGGCGUUACCGACAGAAGAAGCACCGGCUAACUCCGUGCCAGCAGCCGCGGUAAUUC
rnacentral:rRNA from 1 species